GAAUUUUCAACAAAACCCUGGGAGAGCUGUCCUGGAGAAUUGGGAUUGUUCAUCCUGCAGAGAAGCGCUGGGUGACCCAAUUGUGACCACAAAAAAGAUGGACAGAGACUGUUUACAAGAGCCUGGAGUGACAGGACAGUAUUUUGGAGCUCAGAAAUCUGUUCCAGGGAUGUGUUGCCUUCCAUCCCUUUAACAUUUAAAUUUUGUGUGUGAGUCUCACAUCAGGCAGCAGCAGUGCUGUUUGUCCCUGAAUUGUCAUUUGCUGUCCCCAGUGAUAGCUGGAUGAUAAUGGCCAUAUUCUGGUGGAGUGGGACACCCAAAAGAAAUACUCUAACAGAAUUAAAUGUGAGAAAUAGAUGACUGGUGCCCCUUGCAGCAGGGAGAACUCUUGCAGAGAUAGCUCAGGAUAUGGCUGCAGAAUGGAAAGUGUGGAGACACUGCUCAUAAACCAGAGAAGUGACAAUCAGUGGUUUUAUUUGUGUAUUCCCCACAGUCACUGCUCAUAAACCAGAGAAGUGACAAUCAGUGGGUUUAUGUGUGUAUUCCCCACAGUCAUGUUGACUUUAAUGGCAAUUUUAGGUGCUGUCAAUGAAGAAUUUUUAUCAUAUUUACACAAAUAGCUGUAUUUAUAGAUCUCCACAUGCGUGAGUAGAUGGAUGUGUGUGCAUUGGUGUAUAAAACCCCACAAAACCACAGCUGCUUGGUCUGCCUGCUGGAAAUUUAUUCUGAUAAUAUCACAGUGCACUUGCUACAUAUUCCAAGGGAUUUUAUUUGUUUGUGCUUUUUGUAGGUGCUACAAAAGUAGCUGGAUUUGGGGAUUCAAGCAGAUGCAAAAAUCCAGGGUUGGCCAGAUCAAGGGUUCAGCUUGAGAGGUGUGGAAUUCAGAGCUGGAUCCCUGCAGCAGCUCUGGGGCAGGGAUUCUGCUCCUCUGCCCCUGAGCUGCCUUUUGACUCAUCUCAGCCUUGGCAAGAAACUCCCAUUUGAGCCUUUGGCUCUCCUUCCUUCCAAGGGGGAAUAUUUAGGUCAGUACAGACACCUGAGUUCCCCAGUCCUCGAGGAACCAACAGGAUCGUGGGCAAGUUCCCCUGGCUGUUACUGGAGGGGUCGUUUUGGAAAUGCUUUAGGGCAGGGACCUCGGAUUGGAGCUGCAGGUGCUUCCAUCUGGACAUUUGGACACGUGGGACAGAAAUGGGGGAGCUGCUGGGUGAGACGGGCACUCAGAGUCCUCAAGAAAACAGGUGAGGGCUGCUGGCUGCUGCAGAAAGGGACCUCAGUGCCCUGGGUGUGGUCCCAGCCUGGCUGGCAAAUUGCUCCUGCCUGGGGCAGCCCCAUGCAGACAGGGCUGCACAACAAAGGAGCUGGGAGGGUUUGUGUUCAGCACUAAAACCCUUCCUGGCAGCAGCAGAAAGGCUGGAACCCAGCUCUGGAGAGCUCUGCUCGAGUCCUGGCCGCUGCAGC
rnacentral:lncRNA from 1 species